UUAUAGAUCCCUGACCCCAGGUAACACUCAAAUCUGUACCCCACAGGCAUGUGCAGAAGGCCUGGGAAGGCUGGAAGAUGAAGGCCUGGCAAGUACAACACGGGAUGAUUCCCCCACUGGAGAACCUUUCAGGAACUCCUGGAACCUCUUGUAGGGUCUGGCACGGCCAGCUCAGGAAACGGAUGCCAGCAAUCCUUCUUUACAGAAACCAGUGCAAGGAAGCAGAAAACAGAAUGUAUGGCAGUCAUUUCUGCUUGACUUGGCUAUGCUGACUCACGUAGAAGUCCUUAACCACCUACCCUGGGCCCUGCCUGGGGCAGUAGGGAAAAGGAUCUCUCAGUUCGGGGGAUGCUUGAAUUCUCUGGACUACAGCCUCUGACGCAAAGUCCAUAAGAAUUGAGAAGCUGAGUUCCACGGACUAGGCUUCAGAAACAUCUGGCCUGCCCACAGAAAGAAGUUGGAGAUGUCUAUGUAAGGUGAGCUUUCAAGCCAGGCAGCAGCAGAGGCCCUCAGAGCCUCUCAGCAGACUCACAUGAAGCUCAAAGCAGGCCCUGACAGCAAGCUAUCCCGAACCUGUGAAGGAUGAAGGCAUGGAAACUCUUAAUACCGGACUCAAAAAAAAUUCCAGGGACUGCCCUGCCAAAUUUUUUAAAAAGGAAACAGGAUGAACAUCUUGCUAUGAGUCCAGAUCCCCCAGUUGGAAAAGUCUCAAUGUAAAAGGGGGCUUCAUCUUUCCUGGCUUUUUGGCAGCACGAAUUAAAGGAGCUGGAGAGAUCCUUGUAGCCUUUUUUCA